CAUAUCGUUCUUUAAUUUCCAAUUCCGAAAUUCGAAAUCAUCCUUCGAAGCUCCCUCUCCCUGGUAAUUAUUACGAGUUUGAUGAACGCGACGGCGCCUCGAAUUGUAUUUCCUCCUAUAUAACGACCGUGGUCACCUUUCCUUCCUCCAUGUAACGCGAUCUAUUUAUUCGUAGAUGGGAAAUAUCCGCGGUCGUUCGUACAAUACGAGCCAGAACUUGGACUCCCUUUGGUGGCCUGGGACCUUUCGAAGGUAGAGAGAGAAAGAAAGAGAGAAAGAGAGAGAGAGAGAGAGAAGGGUGGAGAAAUAUCGAACGAUAUAACCCUGCCUCCUGUCUCGAGAUACGACUUCUCUCUUUCGAGAAGAGAGAGAGAGAGAGAGAGAGGUAAGAAAAAAGGGAAGAAAGGAAGGAAGCGGACGUUGGCCGUUGGCUACUUACCGGCCGUGAAAUAUGAAAUUAAAUUCAUUAGGGUUCUCGCGGUUAUAAUAAAUCGAACGAUUGUGGCGGGAUUCGAGAGGACUUCGAGGGUGGCGGGCUCAAUAACUCAGACGGUUUGAAUGGAAAA